rnacentral:rRNA from 1 species
CAAGCGAUGGGGUGACGCAGGAAGGUAGCUGGGCCAGUCAGUGGUUGUACUGGUGUAAGAGUGUAGGCCGUGACAUAGGCAAAUCCGUGUCACAUUAAGGCUGAGACUUGAUGCAUACCCGUUGUGGGGAAUUCAGUGAUCCUAUGCUGCCGAGAAAAGCCUCUAGUGAGUUCAUACACGGCCCGUACCCCAAACCGACACAGGUGAUCAGGUAGAGAAUACCAAGGCGAUCGAGAGAACUGUGGUUAAGGAACUCGGCAAAAUGCCCCCGUAACUUCGGGAGAAGGGGGACCAUGCCCGGUGAACAUCUUCACGGUGGGAGCUGGGUGUGGUCGCAGAGACCAGAGAGAAGCGACUGUUUACUAAAAACACAGGUCCGUGCGAAGACGUAAGUCGAUGUAUACGGACUGACGCCUGCCCGGUGCUGGAAGGUUAAGAGGACCGGUUAGCCGUAAGGCGAAGCUGAGAAUUUAAGCCCCAGUAAACGGCGGUGGUAACUAUAACCAUCCUAAGGUAGCGAAAUUCCUUGUCGGGUAAGUUCCGACCUGCACGAAUGGCGUAACGACUUCUCUGCUGUCUCGACCACAGACUCGGCGAAAUUGCACUACGAGUAAAGAUGCUCGUUACGCGCGGCUGGACGAAAAGACCCCGGGACCUUUACUAUAGCUUGGUAUUGGCGUUCGAUUCGGUUUGUGUAGGAUAGGUGGGAGACUGUGAAGCAUGCACGCCAGUGUGUGUGGAGUCGUUGUUGAAAUACCACUCUGAUCGUAUUGGACGUCUAACCUCGGCCCAUGAUCUGGGUUAGGGACAGUGCCUGGUGGGUAGUUUAACUGGGGCGGUUGCCUCCUAAAGAGUAACGGAGGCGCCCAAAGGUUCCCUCAGCCUGGAUGGCAAUCAGGUGUUGAGUGCAAGUGCACAAGGGAGCUUGACUGUGAGACUGACACGUCGAGCAGGGACGAAAGUCGGGACUAGUGAUCCGGCACCGGCAAGUGGAAGCGGUGUCGCUCAACGGAUAAAAGGUACCCCGGGGAUAACAGGCUGAUCUUCCCCAAGAGUCCAUAUCGACGGGAUGGUUUGGCACCUCGAUGUCGGCUCGUCGCAUCCUGGGGCUGGAGUAGGUCCCAAGGGUUGGGCUGUUCGCCCAUUAAAGCGGCACGCGAGCUGGGUUUAGAACGUCGUGAGACAGUUCGGUCUCUAUCCGCCGCGCGCGUAAGAAACUUGAGGAAGGCUGUCCCUAGUACGAGAGGACCGGGACGGACGAACCUCUGGUGUGCCAGUUGUUCCACCAGGAGCAUGGCUGGUUAGCUACGUUCGGAAGGGAUAACCGCUGAAAGCAUCUAAGCGGGAAGCCUGUUCCAAGAUGAGGUUUCUCACCACCUUGCGUGGUUAAGGCCCCCUACAGACCAUGGGGUUGAUAGGCCGGAACUGGAAGCGCAGCAAUGCGUGGAGGUGACCGGUACUAAUAGGCCGAGGGC